GAAAUAGAACGCUACUUAAUAUAGUACGUUACAUGUUAUCACAUUCCUCUCUCUCCAAGAAGUUCUGGGGAGAAGCCAUUCUCACAGCAAAUUAUAUUUUGAACAGAAUUCCCACCAAGUCUGUUGAAUCUACACCCUAUGAACUAUGGACAGGUAGGAAACCAAACUUAGAAAAUCUAAGAAAGUGGGGAUCAGUAGCCCAUGUUCUAAUACCUGAGUCAUAUAGAAACAAGUUGGAUUCUAGAACAAUCAGAUGCAAGUUCAUAGGAUAUCCAGAAGGAUCAAAAGGAUUAUUUUCUAUCA